CAGGAAUUCCUCCCCAUGAGUUCCCUCCCCAGGAAUUCCUCCCGCAGGAGUUCCCCCCGUGGCUCUGUCGUCGCAAGGGCUUCUCUUCUCUCCACGCCAAAACUGCCACCAGCGAGUCCCCUCGGAUCCUUUCGUGCCCCCUGAGCUCUGGGCCUGCUGGAAGCAUCGCUGGGCAAACAGCCUCUGGAAAGGGAGGGACUGACUGGAGCAGGAAGGAGUUGUUCCGAGCUGGUCGUGGAAUCACCGAAGGAAUCACCGGCAAUAAACCCCCAGUUUAAAGCAGCUUUUUUGGGGGAGAGUUUCCUUGCCCCCCCCCCCCCCCCCCUUGGCACCAUUUGAUUUGCAGGAGGCCAAGACUGCAUCAGUUUUCCAGUAGGAUAAACUUAAAAACCCAUCAGCAUAUUUUAAUAUUAGGUGAUUGUUGUAAUCUUGUCUUUUCUAUGAAGUCGGCUCCUUUAUUCCUUGUAGGAAAAAAAAAACAAACCUGUCUGAUACCUAGAAUAUAUUAGAAAAAAAAAAAAAAAGGCAUUGUUUGCAUGUAAAGAAGAUUUUUCUUUUUUCCUUUACCUUGUUUUCUGAAGGGGAAAUUUGAAAUGUGAAAUUUUCCUUUUGAAAAGUAGUUUUAAAUUAAGGAAAAACCCAACAAGCUGUAGGUGUAGUUAAGCUCUUAAAUGUAAAAGGAAAUGACUCUUGUUUGUUGUGGAACCAUUUAGAACUGAGAUGAAAUGGCAUUUUCAGCCAGCAGAUGUUUGAUUUCUCGUUACUAAUUUCUCAUUAAGGGGGGGACAAUCUUGCAGGUGCAUAAAAAGGUUCAGAAGCCGUGGAAUGUCUUCUGCAAAUGAAUUUUUCCGUGUUCCUCUCUCUCUCAUUGUUUACUGUACAAUCUCCUUUUUGGGGAUACUCUUGGAAACCUGGAAGUCACUCGUGGUGUCUCAUCUUAGACAGACUCUCAACUGAUGUCGUUGAACUUUUAUCUUAGGGAACAUUAUUAAGCCUUGUCCUCCUUCAGUGACACUUCUUUUUUCAGAAAUGUGAAGCUUUAGUACCAAAUUGUUACAAAGCAUUGGGACACUCGUGUCCUUAAAUAGAUUUUAUUGGAGUUCAGAACAUGUAGCAUGACUCUGAAGGAUAGAAUACUCUUUUUUUAUAUAUAUAUGAAUAUAUAAAAAAAAAAUAUGAUAUAGACUUUAAUACUAAGUAUUUAGGGAACCAAUGGUAAUUUUAAGACUAGCAAAAAUCUUAAUUAAAUAAAAACUUUAGUUGGCUGACUUGCAGGAGAUAAAGAAAUCCAGUCAGCCCAGUUUGGAGAGAACAGCUACCUAUAAUUGUUUGCUUGCAUCAGACUUUAUAAUAAGUUGAUUAUUUGAUAGAGCAGUGAUUGCUUGAACCAGUUGAUGCAUAGAAGCUAAAGCCCAGCUGAGAUGUGGUUUAAAAAAAACUUAGUUAGCUCCCAGGAAGUAAAAAAAAGUGCAGUAUGACCCCACUGCUAAAGUGUAUUUAUUUUUAUUCUCUGUGUCUGAGCGCUGUCAGACAAUGCUUUCGGGGUGACAGGGCAGCCUAACAGCAAAUUCUCUGGAAUAAUCUGCUUUUUUCUCCCCUUUUAGUGGCACUUGAGUUGCCUCCAAGUGUUUGUUUGUUCCAGGCUGGAGAUUGGGUUUCACCCAGAGGUGGGGGAGGGCAGGGGGAAGUGCUGGGGGGUGUUUUAGGGAGCACCAAGCACUUGGUUUUACAGCCCUAAAAACCAGGGCAGGGCAGAAAGGCUGAAACACUUUUCAGUUCUAACACAGCACCUUGUUUUCUAUGGAAAUUGGAGCAGUGGAAAAAUAGAUUUUUACCAAGCAGGGAGUACUUUUUAAAGAGGAAAAAAAAACCCCCAUUUCUGAAUUCAAAGGUAAUUCUUCAGGAUAUCUUGCAAGCUUGUGGCUGGAGUAUCAACACCACGUGUGAGAUUUGAGGUAAAAUGAAGUAAAAAUUGUACAAAUUUGAGCUGAGGUCACUGUAACACUCGCUGGGAUACAAAGCAGUAUUUAUUGAUACCCUACAUAAGCUCUGGAGGAAAUGUCUACAACUUUUAGUUUUACAAUGGACAGGAACAGAUUGUUGUUGUACAAUUUGAAAAAAGGGGGUUUCAACUCUUGACAGUUGGAAGUUUUGUUAAGAUAAAUGUUGUUUUAAAAAAAAAAAAAAAAAAAAAGCUUUAUACCUGUUUACAGUUUUGGAAAAAAUAAAGAAAAAAAGAAAAAAACACACAAAAAAAAAAGCAACACACAAAAAAAACCACACACAAAGUAGGCUUCAUUUUUCUUACAUUCAGUGAAAAACUGGCCUCGACUAUUUGUAAAUAGGAUCAAGAAAAAACAAAAAAAAAGGCAUAAACUGGCACCUGAGAAGUGCAGCAGGCUGACCUUAACUGCAGCAGAAAAGCAUCUUUACUUACUGUUUUCAGAAGUGAAAAAGCUGAAGAUUGUUGGCAAUUCAACCUUUAUUUUUUUUUUUUUUUUUUUAAUUGACAUUCGUUGAGAUCUUGGAGUUAACUGAGCCAAAGUGAUUCUGCAUUCUCCACCCGUUAGUUAGCACUUUGUAACAUUAUCUCCAGUUUACAUUGUAUAAGUUGUAGCUUUAUAAACAUUUUGUGCCAUUAAAGCUCUCACAAAACUGCUGGUCUGAAAUCCCUUCGUGCUGCGCCUUCUCCUGCUUUGUCCUUCUCCCCUUUUCCUUUGGUUUUUUAUUUUUUACAGGAUUGUUUUGUCUCAUGUUUUCAGUUCUGGGUUAUGUGGACACCGAAAGCUGCUGUUUAGAGACUGGAAUCAUUUUUUUUUUUGGUUUGGUUUUUUUUAUUAUUAUUUUUAGUGACCUGGGAUCAUCAGCUCUUCAUGAAAAUAUUGCCCUGCUUGGCCUUGGUUCCUGUGCCAAGUCCUCCAGCACCUUCUCCAGGAAAACUCUGGAAACAAAAAUAUUCUGGUGGCAAAUGAAAUGUCAAGUGGAACUGGUGAGAUUUUUGUAUAACUGGUGGACUCUGUUGUACUCCUUGUAUUUCUCUUCUGUUCCCUAAUUCUGUUGAAUUUGCAGAUUAAAGAGUAAGGGACAAAACCCCUGAUUGUUAAUCUGCCUCCAUGUUCUUGGUUCAAAGGGUGAUUUCCUGCAGACUUGUUCAUUCCUGGUGGGAAUUUUCCCCCUUCUGAUCCUGUUACUGCCCAUUUUAAUUACUCUCUUAUGUGGUUUUAAUAUUUACAUCCAGAACUUUGUGAAAAUGGGAUUUUUUUGCCUUUUUUUUUUUUUUUCAUAGGAAUAAGAUAAAAAUAUAAAUCCUGCUUUCAGAAAGUUUCAAGGUCUGGGACUUGGGCCUGAAUUUUGAGUAGGGCUGGGGGCCUGAGCAGGUUCUUUCUUUGCAGCCAACUGAGAUAUAAACACAUUUAUUUAGUAGGUUUGCAGGGAAAAAAAAUCCAUUCUGUGCUUCAAAACCUAAUUAAGAAUAAAUGCAAGAUAAUAUUGCAUAAGGGAGCAGUUUCUCUACACUGGGAUUAUUGUUAUUAUUAUUGUUAAUAAUAAUAAUAAUAAUCACAUUUUAAUGGAGUUGUGGAACCUUCAAGCUUUUUUCCAUUCCAGUACAGGAGUGUUCAAGUAAAGACUGAAGAAAAGGGAUUUAUUUGUGUGUUUUAAUUUAGAGGAGCUCAAUAAUAUCGAUUAUCUGUUGGAGGUGGUGAGAUGAGAUCUGUGGUGU